AGACCUCCACCCCAGAUCACACCUCACUCCUACCCACUUCUCCAAAGUGGGCUGGCUCAGGGUGGAGGACAGAGUAAAACAACUUGCACUGAGCCUAGUCUAUAAAAUCCGCUACACCUUCCUGAUACCGAAGUACAUGUCAAACUACUUCCUUAACGUAAAUGACCGCCAUAACCACAACAACAGGGGGAGCUCCACUAACCACGUUAAACCCAGAUUCCGAUCUAACAAAGGUCUUAACUCAUUCUCUUUCUAUGCCACAUCAAUAUGGAAUGCACUCUCAACAGGUGUAAAAGAAAAGGCAUCUGUAUGCUCCUUCAAAACCGCACUAAAAGAACAUCUCCAGGCAACUUCAACCCUAAACUAACACCCUCCCUUCCACAUCCUACCUCCAAAUUUAAUUGGUCGGAAAUACUGAUUUGUUCUGCUACUUGCUGAAAGAAAAAAAUAAUAUUAACAUAGAUUCAUACACUAAAGCAAAAAAUGUCUGCAUCGGAUGGAGUUUUUAUGCAUUUAGACAAAGGAUGACGCAACCAACCUUAAAUCAAGGCAAUGUAAAUGCCCAGGGAUGUUGAAUUCUGGCUCCUCCAUUGACGGUAAGACCUCUCUCAUCACAGGCUACAUGUACAAAAUUAUAUUAUCUUUAAAACCUAUUGUAUGGUCUUUCUUUACAGAUGAAUCUAUGUCAAUGUCAAAAAAGCUGCCAGCCCAUGAUGGUGCACAUGCCCGCAAGCCCUGCAUGUCAGGAAAUAUGUCUGUCUUCACCACCUUCAUACGAACCAACGCCACUCAAACCUGCAGCAGGACUUCUCAAAUCCCAGUUCGAUCUACCAGUUACCCAAAGGUCAUAUCUGUAGAGAUCCUUGCAUUCCAAUGAAGGCACGCGACCGGACAGGCUUGAGAGCCAUAAGUACCUAACACACAAUUAGUUUACCGAUACAUAAUGUAUAAAAAGUAGAAUGAACACAAAAGUCCCUGUAGUCUUGGAAGUUUACAUGUCCUGGAUGAUGACGAGGAUGGACGACUUGGAGGCUACGGUGAAAUCCCUGAUUGCAGGAAGACCGCACGUCACUUUAGCCUCCUCAGCAAAAAGAUAACUUCACCAUGUAGAACUCUAGCUGAACUGGAGGAGCUAGACAGGAGUCUGACUCAACCAGAGAAGAGGAAUGCAAUGCCUGCGGGGCAGAAGGUCUAAGAUGGAAUUCCAAAACUUGAUCGUCUGCAAGAUCAUAACAG